AAAAUAGUAAAAUCAAGAAAUCAAAAAAAGGGCUUAAAACCAAAACACAGGCUUACGGUUAUUUUGUUUACCAUAAGUAUAGUUGUAAUUACUAUAAAAUCAAUCCAAAAGCCAAUCGACACAUAAAACAAAUGAUACCACGAAGAAGGAUUUGAAUUGCGGAAAUUCAAUAGCUUGAACUCAAACACUAACGAACUCUGAAAAUUUAAAAAUUAAUAUUUAAAAAAUAUAUAACGCCACAAUUAAAAAAAACUUAGUAUGAGUAGGUUCCACAAAGAAACAAAAAAAUUAGAUGAGAUGAAAUUAGUUCCAAAAAUUCAAAAUUAUAACGUAUACACCAGAUUUAGCCAACUACUACAACUACAAACAUAGAACAAAAAAGAAGAUGAAAUAGGUUAUGAUAGUUAAAAAGAUGGAGAUUAUAAAGAAUUUGAAUAAUCGUAUAUAUAUGUGAGGAGUAGUAAAAUAACUAUGAUAUAUAAUAAAAAUUGAAAACUUAGAAGAUUAAGUCAGUUACGAAAGUUAAAAAUUUUAAAUGUUUAACAGAAAAAUUUGAUUUUAUAAAAAUUAACAUAAAAAAGGGAUGAAGAUUGUGUAAGUUAGGAAUUAGAAAAACUAAUAAGACGAUGGGUAUCGACAAUAAAUAAGAAAGUAAAAAAGAUUAAUUUAAACUCCACUUCAAUGCCUUGUAUGAUACUUAAGGACCUAUUAUACUCUAAAAAUGAUUCUUAGUUUCUUCUUAGUUGGUUCUUCUUAGUUUAUUGAAAAAGAAAGUUAUUAAAUAUAACAUUAAAAUAUGAUACUUAGCUAUGAUGCUUUAAAUAAAUUUGCCAAUAUGAAAAUAUAACUUUCGACUAAAUUGAAAGUCUCCGGAGUGAGGAAAAUAUAUUCGACAUACUGGGGCAUGACGAUCGGAACAGAUGUUUUCUCUCUGAUCUUUUCAUUUCAGGUCUUCUUUCUGUCAACUUUGACAGUUUUUAUGAUGUCGAAAGAUUAUAAAGUUCCACUGUAAAAUCUAUGAUUUGCCUAUAAACGUAUAUUACUAAGCGCUAGAAAAAAAUUACGUUUAAAAAAAUGUACUCCUUUUCAGAAUAUAUUUCCGUGAUGUUUUAUUAAAGAGGGAUUAAGACAAUUAUGCUAAAGUUUCAUAAUUACUGUCCGAUCAAAUUAAUGUCAGCCAAACCUGGAAAAACGAUGUUAUUGUAUGAACUUGCAUCUAACAACUUAUAUAUUUCCUACAUUAGAAAGGCAUAAACUGAGGUAGGAGUGUGUUGCAUUAAAUCCAUUAAGAGUCUUACUGUGAAUACUUCAGACAUUCCUGGGGUGAGUAACUUGCUGCAAUAGAACUGGAGCAUAAUUUCGGUGACUUUACACAUAAGAACUUUAUCAUCUCCUGCAAGGUGGAAAGUCAUAUUUGUCGAAUGAUGGCAGAGAUGUUCCAGAUUAUGAAAUUCGUGAUAGAUGAUGUUCUUACUAAGAAACCUUGUAUUCUUUACAAUCCAAACAGCAAAAUGUGCUCCAACUCACAGGAAAAACCCACCUUGUUGACAAUGGAUUUUGGAACCGGAUCUUCAAUGUCACUAUCUUCUCUACAUACUUUAGUACAAGAAGCAAGUGCUAGAAACGUGUUCAAUUCCUGAUAAUAAAAUUCCGGAAGAAAAUAUAAACCAAAAUUAACCCAAAAUUUUUUAAAUUUAAAAUGUUUAAAUUUAAGUAAAAAUCAAAAAAUCGUAAAAGACAUUAAAAAUUACAAAAGUGUGAGUUAUGAAUGCGAAUAAUAACAUUAAAUUGUUAUGUUUUGCAAUAAUCAGUUUUAAACUUAAAUAAAGGAAAGCAUUUCUCAUGCGAAA